CUAUACAUUUACUAAAGUAGAUCUGACCAUAUGAGCACACGGGUAUAUUCAAAUCUUAUCAGGAAAACCAAAUCUCAGGACUAAUCAAACACACCAGACCCAGAACACAGGCAGAGGGAAGAGUCCAGGCUGAACAUGGCAGGCGGACUAAACCAGAUCGUGAGAGGAGCUGCGGACAGGAGAAGCAUCUCAGGCCAAGAUUCCAGAAGCCUGGAGUAGCCAAAAUGGCUGGAUUUCAUAGGGAGCAGGAUUAAGGUAGGGAAGCGGAAACCGAGCCCUGGGAGGAAGGGAUUGGUGUAGGGGUCGGGGUAAGAUGUGCUGGGAGGAGUCACAGCUUCUGAGGGAUGCUGGGAGAGCAGGGAGGAGCUCUCCCAAAGGUACCCUGCGCUUCUGGGAGAGAGCUGGCCAGCAGUGUCUGCUUUGAUGGGUGAAUAGUCACUUCUGUUAGCCGUUUGUCUCAGGUUUGAAACCUAACAUCAACACUGCAAUGACAGUGUCCUUCCAACCUGUCAUCUGACUUCCUGUGUGUGUGUGGAGGGACUAAGAGUCAAGAGAACUCCUGACUGCCAGGAGCCUCAACUCCGUCCAUUCUCCACUGUUGCUGCUCCUACUUAAAUUGCUGUCCUGUUUGUUCAUUUGUCCGUCUGGACUGGACCUCGUUUUGAUGUUUGAUUCUAUGGCCUUCAUGGUCCCACACGUCACUUUUGCAGCCGGACUGGACCUCGAGACUCAGCUCAAGCCUGUGACUCCCUUUAAUCUUGAUUCUGCAGAGACCCCUGGAGAUCCCAAUAGGAUUGAAUGUCUGACUCCUCCUCACCACCCCAACACAGCCCAGAGAUCCCCUUUGGAGCUCCAUCACCUUCCUACUGCUUCGCUCUGCUGUCGCUUAUAACCCACACCUCCUCAUGCACACAGAGACACACACACACACACAGAGUCUCAGUCUCUGUCUCUGUCUCUCUCUCUCUCUCUCUCUCUCUCUCUCUCUCUCUCUGCCCAGGAGGUAUUUAUUAUGUGUUUUGCAAUGUGUAACUCAAGAGUUAGUGUUAGUUAAGACUGGCAUAUAGGUACCCGAGUUUGCCUCAGCCAGCUAAGGUUAUGGUAGCCUUGAUAAGGGCUUUAUGGAGUCCAAUUAGGGAAAAUCACUUCUCCGAGCUGGCUGGUGACCUAACUUUCUAAGCUGCCCAAGACAUCCUGAGGUACAGAAGGCAUUUAAAGAGAUAGAAAGAUAUAGGACACAUAAUUGUCCCUUUAAUGAGAUAGUAUAUGAGUCCUUCUCAGAAUCCUCUUAGUACAGUUACAAGCUGUAACCAACCACACAGCUUCCUAAAGUCUUCCUGCUUCUCUGAAUUACUCAGAAAACCCUACUUUCCCCUUUCUAUCUCCUUCCUAACCAUGCUAUCCCUAAUAAUUUGAGUUUCACACAGUAAAGCUUCCCUCCCUGCCUUGUGGCUGCAUCCACUAUGUGACUGACAACCGUGUCCAACUUAAAUGGUAUGGCUCUCUCUUCCUUUUCUAUGUAUUCUUCUCUGGUCACCUGCCAGGACUUACAACUAGCUGCCCUGGGCUUUGUUUUUCUAAACUCUAAUAAAACUGUAACCUAA